rnacentral:rRNA from 1 species
UACACAAUGAAUAUAUUAGAUUAAGAAUGAUAAGAUUACAAUCAUUGUUAAUUUAAGUUCUGUUGGACUUUUUUGAGGAUAAGCUCGAAAAUUGCUGUUGAGAACUAUAUAAUUUAAAAUUAUUGUAUAGGCCUAAAAUUAGCCACUACGAGAGUUUGUUAUAAAACAAUAAGAAUACAUAAGAAUAUUAUUAUAUAUAAUGCCAUAUAAAGCUAUAAGAAUAAUAACCUAAAUUUAUAGGUUAGUAUGCCUAUGCUAGGAUGAGUAUUAAAACUAUUUAAGUUGAAAGAGAUAUUUCCUAAACUAAUAUUUUCUAUACUAAUUAAGGAGAAGGAAUUCGGCAAAUGUUGUUCCGCCUGUUUAUCAAAAACAUGGCUCUUUGAGGAAACCAUAUAAAGAGUCGAACCUGCCCAGUGAAUAAUUUUAACGGCCGCGGUACCCUGACCGUGCAAAGGUAGCAUAAUCAUUUGCCUUAUAAUUGAAGGCUGGCAUGAAUGGUCUGACGAGAGCAACACUGUCUCCUCUUUAUUACUUAAAAAUUAACUUAUAGGUGAAGAGGCCUAUAUUAAAUUGAAGGACAAGAAGACCCUGUCGAGCUUAAAAGAAAAGUUAGAAGUUAGCUAUUAAAUAAAAAUCAAUAAACUAUGUAGCUUUUUAGUUGGGGCGACUAAGGAACAAGUAAAGCUUCUUUUAUUUUAAUAAAUUUACAGAUUUGGAUCCAGCAAAGCUGAUCAAAGAAAUUAGUUACCGCAGGGAUAACAGCAUAAUCUCCUUUGAGAGACCUAAUCGAAAGGGGGGGUUGUGACCUCGAUGUUGGACUAGAAUAUCCUGAAGAUGCAGACGUCU